rnacentral:rRNA from 1 species
GAUGAACGCUGGCGGCGUGCCUAAUACAUGCAAGUCGAGCGAACAGACGAGGAGCUUGCUCCUCUGACGUUAGCGGCGGACGGGUGAGUCACACGUGGAUAACCUACCUAUAAGACUGGGAUAACUUCGGGAAACCGGAGCUAAUCCCGUAUAAUAUAUUGAACCGCAUGGUUCAAUAGUGAAAGACGGUUUUGCUGUCACUUAUAGAUGGAUCCGCGCCGCAUUAGCUAGUUGGUAAGUUAACGGCUUAUCAAGGCGACGAUGCGUAGCCGACCUGAGAGGGUGAUCGGCCACACUGGAACUGAGACACGGUCCAGACUCCUACGGGAGGCAGCAGUAGGGAAUCUUCCGCAAUGGGCGGAAGCCUGACAGAGCAACGCCGCGUGAGUGAUGAAGGUCUUCGGAUCGUAAAACUCUGUUAUUAGGGAAGAACAAAUGUGUAAGUAACUAUGCACGUCUUGACGGUACCGAAUCAGAAAGCCACGGCUAACUACGUG